ensembl:snoRNA
AGGAAAUGAUGUUGAACAAAUGUCUGACCUGAAAUGAGCAUGUAGACAAAUGUAAUGGUGAAGGA